rnacentral:rRNA from 1 species
GACGAACGCUGGCGGCGUGCCUAAUACAUGCAAGUCGAACGAGAGCGACCGGUGCUUGCACUGGUCAAUCUAGUGGCGAACGGGUGAGUAACACGUGGGUAACCUGCCCAUCAGAGGGGGAUAACAUCCGGAAACGGAUGCUAAAACCGCAUAGGUCUUCGAGCCGCAUGGCUUGAAGAGGAAAAGAGGCGCAAGCUUCUGCUGAUGGAUGGACCCGCGGUGCAUUAGCUAGUUGGUGAGGUAACGGCUCACCAAGGCCGUGAUGCAUAGCCGACCUGAGAGGGCGAUCGGCCACAUUGGGACUGAGACACGGCCCAAACUCCUACGGGAGGCAGCAGUAGGGAAUCUUCCGCAAUGGACGCAAGUCUGACGGAGCAACGCCGCGUGAGUGAAGAAGGUUUUCGGAUCGUAAAACUCUGUUGUUAGAGAAGAACAAGUGCUAGAGUAACUGUUAGCGCCUUGACGGUAUCUAACCAGAAAGCCACGGCUAACUACGUG